CCCGCCUCCAGGGGGCGGUGUGCGCCCCCGGCGCUGGAGCAGCCGCGUUUCGGGGACCCGGGCAGGCGUGGGGGGCUGCGCUGAGCUCCAGGCCUCCUGCAGGUGCAAUAAGAAUCGUAUUACUAAUGUGGUGUCCUCUGGAAUGGUCACAUGAACACAGUUCCCUGCAGAUGUAAUUGGGAGAGAAGGCACAGUCCUGACACAGGGUAAGACUGUGGAGGUGUAUUGCUGUCCCUACCAGCCUGGAGUGCAGUAGUGUAAUCUCGGCUCACUGCAGCCUCAAACUUCUGGGCUCGAGCGAUCCUCUCACCUCAGCCUCCUGAGUAGCUGGGACUACAGGUUUCUCCUUCUCGUCUUCCAAAGCUGUGCCUUAACUUCCUCGAAAGACAACAUCAGUGCUGGCGGGCCUCAAGAAGAGCCAUCCCAAGGUAUUGACUAGGCAUCAGCGUCUUCACCAGGGCAACACAGAACAUCCCUGCAGAGUUCCUGGUGGCUGCAGUGGCUGGUAGGGGAUGUAUGCCUGCUUUCCAUCAGAUUCCCAAAGCGGAGCCCCUGGAGGCUUUGGCCCAUGGCCCUGAAGCUCCCUUUCACAAGGAAGAAAGACUUUGCAAAGCCAACACCACUAUUGGAGAGAAAGUGGAGAAUGUGUAUUAGAAGUACUAGUCUUUGAAGGCAAAACAGCUGUAUAGAGUGAGCUUAAGUGCUGGAUCCCUGUGGUUAGGAAGGGACACUAAGCCUCCGGGAUGUGAGAGUCCCAUGGAAGGCAGUAGGCCCAGGAUAAAGCAGGUGUCAGCUCAGAAAGCCCACCAUCACCCAGAAAAGGGAAGAAAUACGCUACCACCAUCACUCUUUCUGCCAAUGACUUCUUUGCACACCUCCACCCUAUCUCCUGGCUCAGUCUCCCAUGUUCUCAUAGCUAGGGAGGUCUCCAUUGUAAUUUGUAUGGGGAGGUUAACCUAUAGGCCAUUCUGAUGAUCCCAGCUCCCUUUCACUACAACCCCCGUCUGCAUCCUUUGCUUUGCAGUAGGAUUUGAGAGAGGAAGGAUGAAGAUGUAGCCACAGGAUACAUUUAAACAGGCACAGAGUUUGAGGGGUGGGGGGGAACAAAAGCAAAACAAUAAAACCUUCACCAGUCAUUAAAGAAAUGAAAAUGAACCUUUUGAGAUUGUCAAUUUUUAUCUGCUAAGUCAAGAAAAGCUAAUUUAAUUCCUGGCAAUUUCACAAUAAAAAAAAUUGUGCUAGCUCUUGGUGGCAUUGUAAGUAGUUAAAGGCUUUUUGGGAAGUAAUUUGAAAUACAUCAAGUCUUGAAAAUGAUUAUACCAGUGGAUCCAAUCAUCUCGCUGGUGGAAAUUCAUCUGAAGGAAAUGAUUCAGUGGAAAAAACAACCCGUCUACACUUGUUGCACCUAAAUGUCCAGGAAUAAGGGAAUGACAGAAGAAAUCUCAGCACAUUCUCUGAAUGGAACAGAAACCGAGCGUUUGGAACUAGAAUUGCGCAGACUGAAUUGAAUAUGGAAGUGGCUUUAAAUGGCAUGUUAGGUGGAAACACUGGAUGUCUGGUUGAAAUUUGGUAAGACACACAUUCCCAUGGUCAGAAUCGGAAAAUUUCAACAAAUGA
rnacentral:lncRNA from 1 species